AGGCUGCUGUACAGCUUGGUGAUAGCAGCUAUCAUUCAACCUGGUGGUCAGUCUUUAGGCUGCUGUACAGCUUGGCGGACCGUAAAGGAUGGAACAUUUAUCCUCCUAUAUUUGGGUUUCUGAGACGAAAACAGCUUCUGAAUAAUCAAAAUAUGUGUUUACAGUAAUACAGAUCUGUUCAAUAAGAGAUUGUUGUUGUUGAUGAUGAUGAUGAUGAUGAUGAUGAUUACUUUACUGUAUCCAUUAGGAAAUAGAUUUUGCAUCAUACAGCAUGUCAUCUGAAAUAGACAGAUGUAGACAGACAUGCAACACAUCAGACACAUUACAUACAUAGUGCAAUAGACUUACAGACAGACAGUAUUCACAUAGACAACCAUAUAGCACAAUACAACACAAUAUGAGCCUGGUUCAUCUUCAGUAAUGAGGCCCUGUACCCCAUUUACAGUUUAAACUUCUAUGUAUCAGGUGGAGUUAUUCACCAGCUAUAGAGUUGUUGUUUAUGUUUCUAAGACUGCAGGGUGGGAGAUGCAACAAUGACCUUGAGAACAGCAGGAAGUGUGUUGGUGGUCUUUCUCUGGUCUGUAGCAGUGGUACUGGGUCAGGAUGGCUGGAGUGUGACAUACACCACUCAGAGUAUCUGUACCUUGAAGGGGUCAACAGUGGAGCUGUCCUGCUCUUACACAUAUCCCAGUGGUACAUUCAAAACAACCUUCUGGUUCAC